AAGAAAAAGUAGCAGUUAUUCAUCUCAAUACUUAUAUAGACAGUUUGGCCGUGUCCUAGGUUUUUGCUGGGCCCUGGGGACACAUAACUGAACCAAACUUCAAUUCCUGCCUUCUGAGAUCAUAACGGUAUUGUGGGUUAGAAAUGAGGGUAGGGAGUGACAAACAUGAAAUUGAUGUAAUCAGGGCUAAGAUAGAGGCAGGCACUAGCUGCCCAAGGGGUCAGGGAUGGUCUGGGAGAAGUAACUGAACUGAAUGAAGGAAGAUAGGAAAACCACAAUAAAUAUGGUAUUCGCUGAAUGGUUUCAUGAAUUUCCACAAACACGGAUAGCAAGGAAAAGAAGGAGCCUACUUGAAACAGUGCACCAAUGUGCCGGCACAUAAUAGUGGAUAAAUAAGUAUUUGAUGCAUGAAUGAAAAUUACAUACUGUUACUCAUUAUUAGAGGAUAAAGUAGGCGGGACACAAAGUGAGUCUGGAAAGAAUAGGCAUUAUAUAAUAAAGACGUUAUAUUCGUUUUUCAAGCUCUUCAUCAAUUCAACAAAUAUGUGUCAAGCUACCACUGUGUUCCAGGUAUGCUAUUCAAAAUGAGGAUAUGUUGGAAAGCUUUCUUAUGAGAGGAUGAAAAGUUUUCACUUCUGAUAACUUUUAGGCUGUUAAGGAAUAAAAUAAGAUAGGACCCUCCACAGAUCCCUAAUGAGUUUUUUUUGCACGAAUAGCAAGUCAUUUAUGCAUUCUUUCAUACAUUCAUUCUAUAAACAUUUAAUUGAUACUGUGAAAUAGAUAUUUUGAAAGGUCCUGGAAAUACAAUAAUGAAGAAACAAAAAGACUCCCUCAAGUUGCUCGAUUUAGGUGAUGACACAGAAAGAUCCUUGCUGUAAUGGAGUAUGUCAAGAGUAGUGGAAACAUGGCAGAGUAGUUUAAACUGAAACUUGAAAGGAUUAGAACAGCUAGUCUGAUGCUAUUGGGAUAAAGAAAUUUUAAGCUAAGAAGCAAUCCCAACAAAAGUCCAGAGACUUGAGAGAACAGGACUUUAAGGGAAUUGCAAGUAGGUUCGUAUCACCAGAGCAUAAGAGAUAAGGGAAAACGAGGAGAAAGAGUGACAGAAGUGAGGUUUCAGUUGCUGAAGGACUUCUAGGCAAUGCACCAGACUUCAGAACAUUUCCAUCUUCCUCCUAGAAGAUCAAAGAGAAGUAAUGAAAGUCAAGGUGCUGGAAUCAGACAUGGCAUACUUUUACCAGCACCAUAAAUGAUCCAAACUCUCUAGGGGAAGUUC
rnacentral:lncRNA from 1 species